UUGUAUGCCUAGACUAGUUGUAGAAUUGUUCCAGUAACUUAUCUAGAAUAAUUUUUAUUUUGAAUAGUUUAAUUUAAAUUCUAUUUUUCAAAUAUUACAUGUGAUAUAUCAGAUCUGAAAGCAUGUUAAUUAGAUCAAUUUUUGAUACAUGAGAUGUGUUGGUGCAAAAAUCCGCCUGCACCGGAGAAGCUGGAGUUGUGGGGGUUGCGGUCACCGCC
rnacentral:lncRNA from 1 species